AUGGGGGAUGCACCUCUGUACAAGGAGCACCGCAGGUACACCAGGGAGCUCCACGACGUUGACCUCCACGGCAACCACAAGCUCCACGUCGUUUGCAGAAGCAAGCGUCAAGACGUGGACAAGAUGUUGUUCACGCUCAGGAGGAAGCUCGGUGGAAUGCCCGUCAAACUAGUCGGUGUUGAUGUCGAGUACACGCACAACGUGAAGCCACAGCGAGCAGUAGUGCUCCAGCUAUGCAUAGAUAAAGAGUGCCUUGUCUACCACAUCUCUGCAGCUAAAGACAGGCCAAUGGAACUUGACAAAUUCCUCAUGAAUGAUGAAUACACCUUCGCCGGAUUUGCCAUUGAAGGAGGAAAAAAAAGCUGCAGCUAUCUGGUUUGGAGAUUAACUCCGACAACUACAUUGAUAUUCAGGUGGAAUGGAGAGACCAUACAAGAAAAAGAAAUCUGA
rnacentral:rRNA from 1 species